rnacentral:rRNA from 1 species
GACGAACGCUGGCGGCGUGCCUAAUACAUGCAAGUCGAGCGCAGGGGGGUGGUGCUUGUACCUAUGGGGUGAGCAGCGGACGGGUGAGUAACGCGUGGGUAAUCUGCCUUUAAGCGGGGGAUAACAUUGGGAAACGGAUGCUAAUACCGGAUAAAAUUUUUAACCACAAGGUUUAAAUGUGAAAGAUGGUAUUGCAGCACCCAAAGAUGGUAUCCGCUUUGAAUAAGCUGGUGGGUAGGGUAACGCCUUACAAAGGGAAGGUACCAUACCCACCCUGAGAGGGGGAUCGCCCACACGGGAACGGAGACACGCCCCAGCCCCUUCCGGGAGGCGGAGGAGGGGAUCCUUCCGCAAUGGGCGAAAGCCGGACGGGGAAACCCCGCGUGAGUGAUAAAGGUCUCCGGAUCGUAAAACUCUUUGAUUAGGGAAGAAGAUAUUUGUAGUUAAAUGUGCACAUAUUGACGGUAACUACUCAGAAAGCCACGGCUAACUACGUG